CCUCGCUUCCCACGCGCACGUUUUUUAAAUUGUUAAAGGACGUGUUUUUUUGGUAAGAAAAUGUGUCGCGCGCCAACCAUACCUCCCGACACAGCCUUAAUCCAUCUACAUAUUUAUCAAUUUUUUUUAAAAAAAUAAGAUAGUUUGAAAUAUGAUAUCAAUCCGAACAGGGCUUAAAACCUAGCUCAUAGCCUAGCCGACGGCGGCCUCGCACUCGCCGGCGCCGGCGCCGGCGCCGCCAUGCUCCGCCUCCAGAACCACCUCCUCCCACUUCUCCGCGCUUCCUCCUCCUCCUCCCCUGUACACCUCCGCCGCCUAAUCCCAUCCACCGCCGCCGCAUCCUCUUCCUCCUCUGUGCACCCCAACCGCCGCCUCCACUCCACCGCCGCCGCCAGGUCCACCACCACCGCGACACCCUUCUCCAUGGAGGACUACCUCGUCGACACCUGCGGCCUCACCGCCGCCCAGGCGCUCAAAGCCUCCAAGAACGUCUCCCACCUCAAGUCCGCCACCAAGCCGGACGCGGUGCUCGCCAUCCUCUCCGGGGUCGGCCUCUCCGGCGCGGACCUCGCCGCGGUCUUCGCCGCCGAGCCACGGCUCCUCUGCACCAAGGCGCCCAGCGUCGCCCUCCGCGUCGCCUCCCUCCGCCACCGCGUCGGCUUGUCCGACCCCCAGAUCGCCAGCCUCCUCCUCCUGCCCGGCGGCGCCAAGGGCUUCCACACAUGCGACAUGGCCCCGAGGCUCGAGUUCUGGAUCCCCUUCUUGGGAUCCUUCGAGAUGCUCGAUCUUGAAGAGGAACAACGCGAUCGUCAGCUCGAGCCUCGAGAAGGUUAUCAAGCCCAACAUCGCGCUGCUCCGGGAGUGCGGGCUAAAGUGUUUGUGAUAUUGUCCAGAUGUCCCAGACGUCCGCGCGGGUCCUCACGUUCAGCCCAGAGAGAUUGAAGGUUAUCGUGCAGCAAGCUGAGAAACUCCGCAUGCCGGGUUGCUCAUGGGCAUUCAAGAACGCUGUGGGCGCCGUUGCCCGUAGCAAUGAAGGCAUUGUCAAUGCGAGGAUGGAGUUCUUGAGCAGUUCUCUUGGUUGCUCCAUGGAAAAGCUCCGCUCUGCGGUCUGCAAGUGUCCACAAAUUCUGGGAUUAUCUGAGAGCAAACUUCACAGUAAAAUAGAGUUCUUGGUUGGCAAAGUCGGAUUGGAGCCUGACUACAUUUUGCAGAGGCCUGUACUGCUUACGUACAGCCUGGAGAAGCGGUUGCUGCCGAGGCAUUAUGUUGUAGAAGUCCUUCUGGUGAAGGGAUUGAUAAAAAAAACUGUUGAUUUUUACGGUUGUGUAUGUGUGAGCAACGAAGAUUUUGUAGCAAGGUACAUUGAUCACCAUGAGAAUGCUGUUCCAGGGCUCGCAGAUGCCUAUGCUGCAGUUUGUUCUGGGAAAUUGCCUGCGUUGGUCUAACUCUACAUCUUCAGACAGAGAUAUUGGAGGUUCAUCAGUGGAAGUGCCUUCAAAGUAUAACUAUUAGCCUAUUUUGAUGGGCAUAUUGGAGAUCAAUUAUCUUUCAAGCCUAGAGCUAUUGCACCAAUUUGUUCUCUGAGGCUCAUUAGUUGAUGUUAAUUCCUGGUAAUGUCUGUUUUGAAAUUCUGGUUUCAACAGUACCACUACCAAUAAUUUGAUCGCUCAUAAUGGUAGGCAAGUUUCAAUCAUCGAUAUUAUGCAGCAACUGGACUGUUUUAAUGUUGCGGCCCUUACUUCUCAUUUCAUGGAUCGGUACUUCAACAGCUAUUUCCCUGUUCAGACAAUUGAUCAGGAACAGGUGUGGAAGAUGGAACAAGGUGAUAUUGCCUUGGUUGCUGCAACAGAUGGCUGCCACUCCUUGUGUUGAAGCCUGAAGGCAAGCCAAAAAAUAGGCCAGGCCUUCUGCGGAGAUGCCUGAAGCAUCGAACUGCAGUGUCUCACACUGGUUUUGCAGUACUAGCAGGUUAAAACAAAUCUUCCAUCCUGCAGCCGGUAGGAUUGAAAAGGUCUCAUAAGUAAUGAUGAGAAGUUUUGAAAUAGCGUAAACAUAUUAAGGGGUGGCGAUUAUGUGAUGUUGUCAGACUCUAGGAAAUCAGUAGAACAUCAAGGCUUUAUGGUUGAUUUGAAGUCGAUGUGGUUCAACUUCUAUCCAGAUCAAGUGAAGGGCUUUCUGCAGCAUUCUGAGAAACAACCACAGAUUCUACUCUCUCUUUUUUUUUUCCUGAUGAGAAACUCCACAGAAAGAUAAAGAGUUCUUGGUUACCGAAGUUGGGCUGCAUGGUGAGGCCUGCAAUGCUCUUGUUCAGCCUGGAGAUGAUGCUCUUGUUCAGCCUAGAGAAGUGGUUGGUGCCAAGGCAUAAUGUUGUGGAGUUGUUGAUGGAAAAGAUGUUGACUUGAACUAUAAUCUCUUCUGGUGAGAACGAUUUCUUAGCAAGAUACAUUGACCAUCGCAAGGGUAGUACUGUUCAUGGACUAGCAGAUGGUCAUGCUGCAGUUUGUGCUGGGAAAGUGCCUACAAAAGCCCUAGCUUAGCAUAUCUGGACCUAGAUACUGGAGGUUCAUUCCAUCUUUCUGGCUCAUAGGCUCAUAGCUAAGACCUCGCUGUAAACCUGGUUGAGUUAAUGUAAUUCCUUGUAAUGUCUUCCAAAUCUUGAUUUAGUAUUAUAGUAACAACUAACUAUCUUAUCCUUCUUAGUGCUAUGCAAGUUCAAUUCGUGGAGUAUGCAGCAACUUUAUUAUCUUAAUUUUGAUGCUCUGCUGCUCCUGUGAAUAUGUGAGGUCUUAUUGCUUC